GCCCGGCUAGCUCAAUCGGUAGAGCGUGAGACUCUUAUCGGAUAUCUCAAGGUUGUGGGUUCGACCCCCACGUCGGGCU